ensembl:lncRNA
CCGACCCUGCAGGAGGCCACUACUGACCCAUGCCUCUGCCAGAGACUCCUGGACAGUCACAGGCAAAUUUGGAGAUCCAAACUAACAAAGCUGUUAUAAGGAAUGGUUCAAGCUGGUAAGAUGAGGAUUAAGAAUGGAUCUCUCAAUACCUGACUGGUAGUGAAGACUGACGGUGUAAGACUAUAGCUCACCAGGCUCCUCUGUCAAUGGGAUUCUCCAGGCAAGAAUACUGGAGUGGAUUGCCAUGCCUUCCUCCAGGGGCUCUUCCUGACCCAGGGAUCGAAACCAGGUCUCUCGAGUUGCAGGCAGAUUCUUUUACCAUCUGAGCCACCAGGGAAGCC